rnacentral:lncRNA from 1 species
GCUGAAUGUAGCUCUGUUCAUCUUCCCCAGAGUAUAUUUAUUAUUAUUGUUUAUAUAUUGAACUUAAGCCCAAAAAGAGAACUUGUUUGCAAGUUUAACUACGCAGGAUGUGACUGUUACUUCCCUAUAAGCCACGUGACCUGGCUUUUUUUUUUUUUUUUAAUCUCUCCCCUCACUUCAGAAGAACUAAAUUCAGAAAAUUUGGCUGAAAUUGCUCUGUUGUCAAAACUUCACAAUGACCUCACUAACAAGCUGGAUACCAGUCCUAAUGACAUUUCUUCUUCUCUUACAUUUUUGGAGAGCAAAGGUCUAUGCUUCUGGAAACUCAGAGGAAAUAGAUUUCACGUAUCUUAUUAUAGGAGUUACUCUGGGAGCCUUUCUAGCAAUUGGUUUUAUAGUAGUAAUAAUUUGCAUGAUCAAAAAACAAAUGCUUGACCAUGUCUCCAGAGGUCAAACGUGGGAUCAAGCCAGAACAGAGAUGACACCAAUACACCAGAACAGCAAAUUACAGCCUUCUUACAGUGAAAGCAAGAAGAAGAAAGAAGGGCAACUGCUAGACUCAACUCCAGCUUGGAAAGUCUGUAUCUUAUGAAAAAGUGUGACUUGAAAAACUCAUGGAUACCAGGUGCCCCCUGUAAUAAUGUGUUAAUAAGUAAUUGACUUCCAGACUGUGAACAGCCACAAUCAGCCCCAGGUGUUAUAGGCAGAGCUGGUGCCCUGAGUCAGGGGUUUAGACUCAAAACGCUGUCAGAGCAGACAUAUCAAAAUUAUGAUUCUAUGAAGAAGAUAUUGUACUAAUUCUAAUUGAAACUGAAAUUAUUUGGAUGUAUUUUUGUUAUGCCCUUAGCAAGCCAGGUAAUUUUUCCGAAUGUACACAGGGAACCCUAUUACCUGGAUUGUAAUUUUUCUGCAUGUUUUGAACAAGAAAAUGUAAGGUUUAUUUCAGAGAAAAGUGAUCUAUUGGAAUAAUUUCCCUGGAUUCCCUAGGUGUCUGUUACCCACUUCAGUACCAGUGCAGUUCAUUAGUAGCAUUUGCUAAUGGAUAAACUAAAGCAGUAAUGUGAUACUUGCAAGUAAUUGUGCGUGUGUACAUGUGUAAGUGAAUAAACCAUCUUGUAAGGUAUCCGUUAAUUGAUUU